CGUAGUUCAGUUGGUUAGAGCGUCAGAUUGUGGUUCUGAAUGUCGUGGGUUCGAGUCCCAC
rnacentral:tRNA from 2 species